rnacentral:rRNA from 1 species
UGAUCAGGUAGUGACGGUAUCCAAACAGAAAGCCAUGGUUAACUACGUGCCAGCAGCCGCGGUAAUACGUAGGUGCCAGCGUUGUCCGGAUUUAUGGGCGUAAAGCGAGCGCAGGCGGUUUAUUAAGUCUGAUGUGAAAGCCUUCGGCUCAACCGAAGAAGUGCAUCGGAAACUGAGAAACUUGAGUGCAGAAGAGGACAGUGGAACUCCAUGUGUAGCGGUGAAAUGCGUAGAUAUAUGGAAGAACACCAGUGGCGAAGGCGGCUGUCUGGUCUGUAACUGACGCUGAGGCUCGAAAGCAUGGGUAGCAAACAGGAUUAGAUACCCUGGUAGUCCAUGCCGUAAACGAUGAGUGCUAGGUGUUGGAGGGUUUCCGCCCUUCAGUGCCGCAGCUAACGCAUUAAGCACUCCGCCUGGGGAGUACGACCGCAAGGUUGAAACUCAAAGGAAUUGACGGGGGCCCGCACAAGCGGUGGAGCAUGUGGUUUAAUUCGAAGCAACGCGAAGAACCUUACCAGGUCUUGACAUCCUUUGACCACUCUAGAGAUAGAGCUUUCCCUUCGGGGACAAAGUGACAGGUGGUGCAUGGUUGUCGUCAGCUCGUGUCGUGAGAUGUUGGGUUAAGUCCCGCAACGAGCGCAACCCUUAUUACUAGUUGCCAGCAUUUAGUUGGGCACUCUAGUGAGACUGCCGGUGACAAACCGGAGGAAGGUGGGGACGACGUCAAAUCAUCAUGCCCCUUAUGACCUGGGCUACACACGUGCUACAAUGGAUGGUACAACGAGUUGCGAGACCGCGAGGUUUAGCUAAUCUCUUAAAACCAUUCUCAGUUCGGAUUGUAGGCUGCAACUCGCCUACAUGAAGCCGGAAUCGCUAGUAAUCGCGGAUCAGCAUGCCGCGGUGAAUACGUUCCCGGGCCUUGUACACACCGCCCGUCACACCAUGAGAGUUUGUAACACCCAAAGCCGGUGAGGUAACCCUUCGGGGAGCCAGCCGUCUAAG